UGUAAACAUCCUACACUCUCAGCUGGAGCGCAGCCGAGGCCGGGAGUGGGAUGUUUGCG
rnacentral:pre_miRNA from 1 species